CCUACGGGAGGCAGCAGUGAGGAAUAUUGGUCAAUGGCCGGAAGGCUGAACCAGCCAUGCCGCGUGAAGGUCAGUGCCCUAUGGGCGUUAAACUUCUUUUGUGCGGGAGCAAUAAUGGUCACGUGUGGCCAGACGAGAGUACCGUACGAAUAAGGAUCGGCUAACUCCGUGCCAGCAGCCCCGGUAAUACGGGGGAUGCAAGCGUUAUCCGGAUUUAUUGGGUUUAAAGGGUGCGUAGGCUGUGAGGUAAGUCAGCGGUGAAAUGCCCCCGCUCAACGGGGUGAAGUGCCAUUGAUACUGCCUGGCUGGAAUGCGGAUGCGGUGGGAGGAAUGUGUGGUGUAGCGGUGAAAUGCAUAGAUAUCACACAGAACACCGAUUGCGAAGGCAUCUCACGAAUCCGCGAUUGACGCUGAUGCACGAAAGCGUGGGUAUCAAACAGGAUUAGAUACCCGAGUAGUC
rnacentral:rRNA from 1 species